CGUGUAGGCGGUAUCAUAAGUCAGAUGUGAAAGCCCCGGGCUCAACCUGGGAAUUGCAUUUAAAACUGUCCAGCUAGAGUCUUGUAGAGGGGGGUAGAAUUCCAGGUGUAGCGGUGAAAUGCGUAGAGAUCUGGAGGAAUACCGGUGGCGCAGGCGGCCCCCUGGACAAAGACUGACGCUCAGGUGCGAAAGCGUGGGGAGCAAACAGGAUUAGAUACCCCAGUA
rnacentral:rRNA from 1 species